rnacentral:rRNA from 1 species
GGUUAAGCGACUAAGCGUACACGGUGGAUGCCCUGGCAGUCAGAGGCGAUGAAGGGCGUGCUAAUCUGCGAUAAGCGCCGGUAAGGUGAUAUGAACCGUUAUAACCGGCGAUACCCGAAUGGGGAAACCCAGUGUGAUUCGUCACACUAUCAUUAACUGAAUCCAUAGGUUAAUGAGGCGAACCGGGGGAACUGAAACAUCUAAGUACCCCGAGGAAAAGAAAUCAACCGAGAUUCCCCCAGUAGCGGCGAGCGAACGGGGAGGAGCCCAGAGCCUGAAUCAGCAUGUGUGUUAGUGGAAGCGUCUGGAAAGGCGCGCGAUACAGGGUGACAGCCCCGUACACAAAAGCGCAUGUGCUGUGAGCUCGAUGAGUAGGGCGGGACACGUGGUAUCCUGUCUGAAUAUGGGGGGACCAUCCUCCAAGGCUAAAUACUCCUGACUGACCGAUAGUGAACCAGUACCGUGAGGGAAAGGCGAAAAGAACCCCGGCGAGGGGAGUGAAAAAGAACCUGAAACCGUGUACGUACAAGCAGUGGGAGCACAGGUUUACCUGUGUGACUGCGUACCUUUUGUAUAAUGGGUCAGCGACUUAUAUUCUGUAGCAAGGUUAACCGAAUAGGGGAGCCGGAGGGAAACCGAGUCUUAAUUGGGCGUUAAGUUGCAGGGUAUAGACCCGAAACCCGGUGAUCUAGCCAUGGGCAGGUUGAAGGUUGGGUAACACUAACUGGAGGACCGAACCGACUAAUGUUGAAAAAUUAGCGGAUGACCUGUGGCUGGGGGUGAAAGGCCAAUCAAACCGGGAGAUAGCUGGUUCUCCCCGAAAGCUAUUUAGGUAGCGCCUCGUGAAUUCAUCUCCGGGGGUAGAGCACUGUUUCGGCUAGGGGGCCAUCCCGGCUUACCAACCCGAUGCAAACUGCGAAUACCGGAGAAUGUUAUCACGGGAGACACACGGCGGGUGCUAACGUCCGUCGUGAAGAGGGAAACAACCCAGACCGCCAGCUAAGGUCCCAAAGUCAUGGUUAAGUGGGAAACGAUGUGGGAAGGCCCAGACAGCCAGGAUGUUGGCUUAGAAGCAGCCAUCAUUUAAAGAAAGCGUAAUAGCUCACUGGUCGAGUCGGCCUGCGCGGAAGAUGUAACGGGGCUAAACCAUGCACCGAAGCUGCGGCAGCGACGCUUAUGCGUUGUUGGGUAGGGGAGCGUUCUGUAAGCCUGUGAAGGUGGCCUGUGAGGGUUGCUGGAGGUAUCAGAAGUGCGAAUGCUGACAUAAGUAACGAUAAAGCGGGUGAAAAGCCCGCUCGCCGGAAGACCAAGGGUUCCUGUCCAACGUUAAUCGGGGCAGGGUGAGUCGACCCCUAAGGCGAGGCCGAAAGGCGUAGUCGAUGGGAAACGGGUUAAUAUUCCCGUACUUGGUGUUACUGCGAAGGGGGGACGGAGAAGGCUAUGUUGGCCGGGCGACGGUUGUCCCGGUUUAAGCGUGUAGGUGUGUGUUCCAGGUAAAUCCGGUUCACUUUAACACUGAGGCGUGAUGACGAGGCACUACGGUGCUGAAGUAACAAAUGCCCUGCUUCCAGGAAAAGCCUCUAAGCAUCAGGUAACAUCAAAUCGUACCCCAAACCGACACAGGUGGUCAGGUAGAGAAUACCAAGGCGCUUGAGAGAACUCGGGUGAAGGAACUAGGCAAAAUGGUGCCGUAACUUCGGGAGAAGGCACGCUGACACGUAGGUGAAGUGAUUUACUCACGGAGCUGAAGUCAGUCGAAGAUACCAGCUGGCUGCAACUGUUUAUUAAAAACACAGCACUGUGCAAACACGAAAGUGGACGUAUACGGUGUGACGCCUGCCCGGUGCCGGAAGGUUAAUUGAUGGGGUCAGCGCAAGCGAAGCUCCUGAUCGAAGCCCCGGUAAACGGCGGCCGUAACUAUAACGGUCCUAAGGUAGCGAAAUUCCUUGUCGGGUAAGUUCCGACCUGCACGAAUGGCGUAAUGAUGGCCAGGCUGUCUCCACCCGAGACUCAGUGAAAUUGAACUCGCUGUGAAGAUGCAGUGUACCCGCGGCAAGACGGAAAGACCCCGUGAACCUUUACUAUAGCUUGACACUGAACAUUGAGCCUUGAUGUGUAGGAUAGGUGGGAGGCUUUGAAGUGUGGACGCCAGUCUGCAUGGAGCCGACCUUGAAAUACCACCCUUUAAUGUUUGAUGUUCUAACGUGGACCCGUUACCCGGGUUGCGGACAGUGUCUGGUGGGUAGUUUGACUGGGGCGGUCUCCUCCUAAAGAGUAACGGAGGAGCACGAAGGUUGGCUAAUCCUGGUCGGACAUCAGGAGGUUAGUGCAAUGGCAUAAGCCAGCUUGACUGCGAGCGUGACGGCGCGAGCAGGUGCGAAAGCAGGUCAUAGUGAUCCGGUGGUUCUGAAUGGAAGGGCCAUCGCUCAACGGAUAAAAGGUACUCCGGGGAUAACAGGCUGAUACCGCCCAAGAGUUCAUAUCGACGGCGGUGUUUGGCACCUCGAUGUCGGCUCAUCACAUCCUGGGGCUGAAGUAGGUCCCAAGGGUAUGGCUGUUCGCCAUUUAAAGUGGUACGCGAGCUGGGUUUAGAACGUCGUGAGACAGUUCGGUCCCUAUCUGCCGUGGGCGCUGGAGAACUGAGGGGGGCUGCUCCUAGUACGAGAGGACCGGAGUGGACGCAUCACUGGUGUUCGGGUUGUCAUGCCAAUGGCACUGCCCGGUAGCUAAAUGCGGAAGAGAUAAGUGCUGAAAGCAUCUAAGCACGAAACUUGCCCCGAGAUGAGUUCUCCCUGAGACUUAGAGUCUCCUGAAGGAACGUUGAAGACGACGACGUUGAUAGGCCGGGUGUGUAAGCGCAGCGAUGCGUUGAGCUAACCGGUACUAAUGAACCGUGAGGCUUAACCUU